AGUGAACGCUGGCGGCAGGCCUAACACAUGCCAGUCGAGCGGCAGCGCGGGGGCAACCCUGGCGGCGAGCGGCGGACGGGUGAGGAAUUCGUCGGAAUCUGCCUUUUUGUGGGGGAUAACGUAGGGAAACUUACGCUAAUACCGCAUACGUCCUACGGGAGAAAGUGGGGGACCGCAAGGCCUCACGCAGAAAGAUGAGCCGACGACCGAUUAGCUAGUUGGUGGGGUAAAGGCCCACCAAGGCGACGAUCGGUAGCUGGUCUGAGAGGAUGAUCAGCCACACUGGGACUGAGACACGGCCCAGACUCCUACGGGAGGCAGCAGUGGGGAAUAUUGGACAAUGGGUGCAAGCCUGAUCCAGCCAUGCCGCGUGUGUGAAGAAGGCCUUCGGGUUGUAAAGCACUUUUGUCCGGAAAGAAAUCCCUGGAGCUAAUACCUUCGGGGGAUGACGGUACCGGAAGAAUAAGCACCGGCUAACUUCGUG
rnacentral:rRNA from 1 species